ACGGAGGGGGCGAGCGUUGCUCGGAAUUACUGGGCGUAAAGGGCGCGUAGGCGGCGGUGAUAGUUAGACGUGAAAGCCCCGGGCUCAACCUGGGAAUAGCGUUUAAUACUUCAUUGCUUGAGAGUGGAAGAGGGUAGUGGAAUUCCCAGUGUAGAGGUGAAAUUCGUAGAUAUUGGGAAGAACACCAGUGGCGAAGGCGGCUACCUGGUCCAUUUCUGACGCUGAGGCGCGAAAGCGUGGGGAGCAAACAGG
rnacentral:rRNA from 1 species